rnacentral:lncRNA from 1 species
CGGCUAGUUUGUAUGCCGCCACCAAGAAGGCAGGCGAAGAAAUAACCCACACUUAUAAUCAUAUCUACGGUCUUUCAAUUACUGGAUUAAGAUUUUUCACCGUGUACGGUCCAUGGGGAAGGCCUGAUAUGGCGUAUUUUUCGUUUACGAGAAAUAUUCUGCAGGGAAAGCCCAUCACCAUUUAUCGGGGAAAGAAUCGGGUUGAUUUGGCACGAGAUUUUACCUACAUUGACGAUAUCGUGAAAGGCUGUUUGGGAUCGUUGGAUACAUCCGGGAAAAGCACCGGUUCUGGUGGGAAGAAAAAGGGGAACGCUCCAUAUAGGAUUUUUAAUUUGGGGAAUACGUCGCCGGUCAAGGUGCCGGAGCUGGUGAA